CUUUCAACAACGGAUCUCUUGGUUCCAGCAUCGAUGAAGAACGCAGCGAAAUGCGAUAAGUAAUGUGAAUUGCAGAAUUCAGUGAAUCAUCGAAUCUUUGAACGCACAUUGCGCCCCUCGGUAUUCCGGGGGGCAUGCCUGUUCGAGCGUCAUUACACCCCUCAAGCGUAGCUUGGUAUU
rnacentral:rRNA from 6 species